AUGGUUAACAGUAAUACCAUUUUCCAUAGGAAAUUCAUUUGGAAGUUGAAGGUUCCAUUAAGGAUUAAGAUCUUUAUAUGGUACCUAUGAAGGGGGCUGAUUCUAACUAGAGAUAAUUUAGCCAAGCGCAACUGGCAAGGUAGCAAAUGGUGUUGUUUUUGUGAUCAACAUGAAACAAUACAAUAA
rnacentral:rRNA from 1 species